rnacentral:rRNA from 1 species
UACGUAGGGGGCAAGCGUUGUCCGGAAUCAUUGGGCGUAAAGCGCGUGUAGGCGGUCCGGUAAGUCCGCUGUGAAAGUCGGGGGCUCAACCCUCGGAUGCCGGUGGAUACUGUCGGGCUUGAGUACGGAAGAGGCGAGUGGGAUUCCUGGUGUAGCGGUGAAAUGCGCAGAUAUCAGGAGGAACACCAAUUGCGAAGGCAGCUCGCUGGGACGUUACUGACGCUGAGACGCGAAAGCGUGGGGAGCAAACAGG